AUCGCUUCUCGGCCUUUUGGCUAAGAUCAAGUGUAAAAAGGCAUCAUAUUUAUAUUGAAGAUUAAGACUGUUCAAACUGAUUUAAGGAAACUCUAUUUUUCAUAUUGAAAUCUGACAUAACAUCUUCUUAAUGGACUAGGUUGGAUCCCUUC
rnacentral:snRNA from 1 species